CCUACGGGGGGCAGCAGUGGGGAAUAUUGCACCAUGGAGGGAACUCUGAUGCAGCGACGCCGCGUGAGUGAAGAAGUAUUUCGGUAUGUAAAGCUCUAUCAGCAGGGAAGAAAAUGACGGUACCUGACUCAGACGCCCCGGCUAACUACGUGCCAGACACCGCGGUAAUACGUAGGGGGCAAGCGUUAUCCGGAUUUACUGGGGGUAAAGGGUGCGUAGACGGUUAUGCAAGUCUGAAGUGAAAGCCCAAGGCUCAACCAUGGGACUGCUUUGGAAACUGUAAAACUGGAGUGCAGGUGUGGUAAGCGGAAUGCAUAGGGUAGCGGUGAAAUGCGUAGAUAUGAGGAGGAACACCAGUGGCGAAGGCGGCUUACUGGACUGUAACUGACGCUCAUGCACGAAAGCGUGGGGAUCGAACAGGAUUAGAUACCCCAGUAGUC
rnacentral:rRNA from 1 species